GCCCAUACUUUUACUGGAGAUAGAACAAUUACCACAUUUAAAAAUGGACAACAAAGAGCUUCAUUUGACCUCAAGAUCCUCAUCAUCCCUCUGAGUGUGUUGAUCUUUAUUGUAAUUGUGGUGUUGUUCAUCUGGUUGAUACUGAGAAACAAGCAGAGAAAAGCAGACUCAUCAGCCACAGCAAUGGCCGGAGUGGAGGUAGCAUACGCUGAAGUUAGACCCAAGAAAAAACACUUAGGCAAGGUGGACCAGGAAGUAAUAUACACCAAUGUGGGAAACAUUAGAAGAAAAUCACCCGAGGUAACCCUAACAUACUACAACUAUACAUUUGUAUUUGAGUAUAAGCAGACUUUAACUUUUUUUUUCUUAAAGAAUGACACGACUGUAAAGUGUUCUGUUUCCACUCCUUUUGUUUUCCCCCAGAUGUCACUUCCUGAAAGUGAUGGGGAAGUCAUGUACAGUUCAGUUGUUACCCCCAGGGAUCAAUAAAGUAUUCUGAUUCUGAUUAGAAGAAAAUCACCCGAGGUAACCCUAACAUGUGUCUGUGAAGGUUCUCAGUCAUCCAGGUCAUCGUAGUCAAAGGAGCUUGCAAAGAAAAGCGUCUGGACUUCUUUAAGUUGCUUGAAGACGUUUCACCUCUCAUCCGAGAAGCUUCUUCAGUUCUAAGGUCAAAUGGUGGAGAGUCCAUCUAUGUCCACUGUGAGUGAUCAUCUGUGAACAGAGGCGGGGGUUUACGACACCAACUCUCUGCCAUCUAUAAUCCAGUUUUGAGAUCCCUUCCCAGACGCCUUAACGCCCACUCACAUCCUGGGCCAUCUGACCUCAGGAAUUCGCAUGAUAAGGUGGGGCCAGGUUUCACAAUGAACACACCCGAAACUCUGGCUGAUUGGAACCCACACCCAGUUUCACACCUUGGCUCAGGCGAUUAGAGGAUCAUCAGGGGGUUCUUUUGUCCCUCUGUGGGGGGUUACUCCCACUGGAACUCUCCACCAUUUGACCUUAGAACUGAAGAAGCUUCUCGGAUGAGAGGUGAAACGUCUUCAAGCAACUUAAAGAAGUCCAGACGCUUUUCUUUGCAAGCUCCUUUGACUAACCCUAACAUACUACAACUAUACAUUUGUAUUUGAGUAUAAGCAGACUUUAACUUUUUUUUCUUAAAGAAUGACACGACUGUAAAGUGUUCUGUUUCCACUCCUUUUGUUUGUUCAGUUGUUACCAUAAAGAAACAAGAGGGUAAAUAUUUAAAGACCUGAAACCAACACACAUGAUUUCUCACAUACUGUUUCUCUCUUUUCAAAUAAUUUAGCUCAUUAUCCUCAUAAGACAUGAUUCGCUUUAAAUUUGGUCACCUUGGUCUUUGCUUUUUCUUUCUAAUCGUCAUAUUUGUUUCUGUUCUCUGUUCUCAGGGUGAGGCAAAAGACACAGAAGUUACAUGCAGCACAUUAGCCAAUCACUACUGAAAUCUUUAAAUAUUAGAACUUUUGGCCUUUCUGUCUCUUUAUAUCUACCUUUUACUGGUGUUUUUGCAGGAUACAGUGUUUUUUUUUUUUUUUUACUGUCAGCAGAUCAGUCACCUAGCCAUGCAGUAUGGCUACAGAUUUGCAUUCUCCAAAGAGCUCACUGAACUGGUCCAGUAAUGGUAUAGUAAUAGGAUGGGACUGUUGCAACAAGUCAGUUUGUGAAAUUUCUUCCACAAUCAACUCUAAGUUAUGUUAUUGCAACCUGGAAACAUUUUGGAACCACAGAAUCUCAACAAUGUAUUGGCAGUACAUGUAAAGUUACAGAGCAAGAUUGCUGAGAACUGAGGCGUAUAGGGUGUCUUGUCUUGUCACUUCCUGUUUUGCUUUGUAUAACCUGUUCCUUUGUGUGUGUGUGUGUGUGUGUGUGUGUGUGUGUGUGUGUGUGUGUGUGUGUGUGUGUGUGUGUGUGUGUGUGUGUUGUGUAUGUUGUGUGUUUAGAUUUAUGGAGAUUGUUUCCUGCUAUUCAGUUAGUUUUCUGUCUGCUAUAAACACACUCUUAAACCUUGUUGAAAGAACAUCCCAGAAGAGUCGAAGCUCUUAUAGUUGCUUAACUGUCAAUUUUGUUUCUCAACAGGGUGAAGGAAAAGGCACAGAAGUUACAUAUAGCACAUUAGCUACUCUCCACUGAAAUAUUUAAAUGUUAUAACCUUUUGCAUUUUGUGUACCUGUAUUACUGGAGUCUUUGUCAGACAAGUGCUGUAAUGUGUUAUCUGCUCUCAUCAGCUUGUUAUAUGAUUUUUUGUUUUUAACUGCUGUUUAAGAACUAUAUUCCUGCAUAUUUGCAAAGUGAGUC
ensembl:lncRNA